UUUAAAAGUGAAUUGACUGAACUCGAAUUGACCUCUGUGGAGUAGUUUCGAUAUAUGUAUAAAUAAAUGGAUUGUAAAGCUGCGGGGCCUAGCCUGGGGUUGCGCUACACCCAGAAACGGCGAGGGGCUGCAGGGGCUGCAGAGGCCGCCGUGGGCGACGGGUCGACAGCCGCCACAGACCUCAGUGAUGCUCCUCCUCCUCCUCCUCCGCCUGUACCUUGGGCUGAAGCCGGUGGUUUCUCCAGCCUGCAACACGUUUGAGAGCCGGGAAGGCGCGGAGCGGCGAGUGUAGGGCCAUGGAGCAGACGCCGAUACAAGACGGAUACAUUCUCACUUGAUACACUGUCCACUGGAUACAGUGCGCGGCCGCGCGCCCUCUCGCGCCUCUGGCAGUCACUGCAGCCACGUGCACCCGCGGGGCUCCCUCCCAGCGAGCACGUCUACCCCGGGUAGACACUGCAGUAAUGCAACGGAUCAAGCAGCAUCUCUGGAGAAAAAUAGGAAUAGGAGACCCUUCUUCACACUGAGAGUCAGGGGAAGGAAUUGAUUGUAAUCUCCCAACCCAUUCUAGACACAAGGAACUGCAGAUGCUGACAUCUUGAGCAAAGUACAACAUUUCUGGAGGAACCCAAUGGGUAAUGCAUAUCUGUGGAGGGAAUGAAGAGACAACAUUUUGGGUGGGGAUCCAACCUGGUCCAUCGUGGCCACAGGCAGCCCUCCUCUCCAUUGAAAGCAUCUACAUGAGGAGCUGCCUCAAGAAGUCAUCUAUCAUCAAGGAUCCCCACCAACAUCUUCUCACUGCUAACUUCAGGCAGAAGGUAUAGAAGCCAAAGUCCCACACCACCAAGUUCAGGAACAGCAGUUUUCCUACAACUAAGUUCUUGAACCAACCAACAUCACUCUAGCCACGUAUUGACAAUGGAACAUCUUGGCCAUCGAGGAGUGUCUCUAAUAUUGCCUCUACGCUCAAAGCAUUAGAUCUGAAAUUCUUCUUUUAUUCCAAUGGCACCCGCCACUAUUGUACGAGAGUUAAUUAAUUUGUAUUGGUACUUAUUCACUAUAACAAGUACAUGCUUGCAGUCUAAAGGAGUCAAUAUGCAUAAUGGUUAUAACAACUAGAAUUUAAAAUGAGAAUUUUUCUGUCAUUAAUCUGUGUGAUAAUUACUUCACCAGUCCCUCGAGUCAUUUCUGAGCUCUCGCUCGAUAAGACUUACACAGUGAUGCUCACUUCUUCUUCGAAGAGCAGCAAACUCCUGUGCAUCACCGUCAGUCCUUUUUU